UAGUAGAGAAGUGGUGAUCCAGGCAGGAAGUGACAUAGCAAGGAGACUCAUAUUUAAUUGAAUGAGAAACAGGAAGGGUCCUUUUUCCCCUUGCUCCUCCAGCAGCAUAAUGUGAUCCACCAGCAAGAAGGGAUGCCAAUAAGGCGUCCGAUAAGAUAAGUCUUAUAAAAUAUAUAGAUUUAUGAUAAUUAAAACUGAGCUAGCAGAUGAGAAUCCUAGUCAUUGGCCAAGCAGCUUUGAACUUAAAACAAGUUUCUGUGAGUUCAUUUGGGCCUAACCCGGGGGUGGGGGUGGGUGGGUGGGGCUGGCAUAAAGCACACAUGUGGCAGUGGGACUCGGUGACUUUUUAGCGGAAAGAUUUAUCAUAACAACAGAAGGUUGGACAGUAGCCUGACCAUGGAGUUCUGUGUUCCAGGGUAUAAUGUGAUUCAGAAAAGAAUGAAGACAAUGGAGACCUGAGGAAAUACAUUGUAUAUUUCAGUGACAUAGACAGUUUCAUAGAGCUAGUCUCCCAUUCUGAUCUGAGCAAGAGUAGGUCAUACUGAGAGCAUGGCACAGGACCAAGAUCUGCUCAGAUACAUAGCAUUUUAGAAAGUACAACCCCUGAGCAAGCCAACCUGUUCUCUCUGGGUCUUUGCCCUCUGAAGUUUUCACUCACGUGGUCCAUUGCUGCCCAUCACAACAUGUGCCUUACUAUAUUGUACUACACUUUUGCUGAUCAAGAUUUCAUAUUAAGGACUAAGGCAGUCUGGCCUGGCACAGAAGCAUCAAGCUGUAAGAUCAAGGUGCAUGGUCCAGUCAGUUCUAACUCUAAGGAGAAAUGAGCACUGAAUGCAGCAAAUAUUCAAGUCCACAAUGCAGAAUUAAAUGCAUCGAGGACUGCCAAUCUUCUUUCAGAAUGAAACAGAGUACCACUCCCUGGAAGCAAUGCAAAACCACCUCAUCUUCCUGGACAGAACUGUUCACUUCAUUCCUUAUUUGCCCCAUACUUGGUCAUUGGAAAAAUAACCUUUCUAGGACAUUUCUCUGAAAAAAAAAAGAAGUGUGAUUUGAUCUUUCCUUCAUGACCUGGGCCAUGCCAUCCCAAUAUGAGAAGAAGCAAUAAAUUGAAGUCAGAUACUUAUUGGAAUGAAACU
rnacentral:lncRNA from 1 species